rnacentral:rRNA from 1 species
ACAGAAUCGCAGAGAUGUGGAGGUGCCCGAAAGGGAACCUGAACACAGGUGCUGCAUGGCUGUCGUUAUUUCGUGUCGUGAGAUGUUGGGUUAAGUCCCGCAACGAGCGCAACCCUUGCCAUUAGUUGCUACAUUCAGUUGGGCACUCUAAUGGGACUGCCGGUGACAAACCGGAGGAAGGUGGGGAUGACGUCAAGUCCUCAUGGCCCUUAUGGGUAGGGCUUCACACGUAAUACAAUGGCGCAUACAGAGGGCUGCAAACCCGCGAGGGGGAGCCAAUCCCAAAAAGUGCGUCGUAGUCCGGAUUGUUCUCUGCAACUCGAGAGCAUGAAGUCGGAA